UUUUUUUCCUGCAAAAUGUGGUGGAGUAAGGCUGUGGAGCACAUCUUUCCUUCUGGAUGCUGUCAGCAGUGUUGGGAAUGUCUUCAGAGUUGGGAUUUGGACCUGGACCUCCCGCCAUCCCUGGGCGUGUAUUGGUCUGAUUCAGUCUUACAGUUUUGAUGUCUUAAACAAACGUCAGCACCUUUACAAGGAGCACAUUGACAAGUGGAGGAGACAAGCAAGUGGGCUGAGAAGACAUCUGCCUCCAAUAUUCUGAUGUACCUCGAGGACCUGCUUCUGGAGGUAGGAGAACUGCUGCAGGAUGGGAGGGAGAGCUCGGGAAGGAUAAUUUUUAUUUUUGGUGCCUGAAACCCAGGUCGUAUUGUGCACAGUUUGCCCAUCUCUUGGGGCAGUACCCAUAGAGGUCAGAGGUGGUUUGUGGCUGCAGAAAUUCCUCCAGAUCAAAAACUGGUCAUUUUAUGUUGGAGGCUGGAGGAAAGGUGUGAGAAGGAAGGCUUGUGAGGGCAUCUGUCUCCUAGGCUACAGGGAAUUUCCAAGACAUGACCCUCACUGCAGGAGGCUGAGGCCAAAAAGGGCCGUGG
rnacentral:lncRNA from 12 species